rnacentral:rRNA from 1 species
AGAGUUUGAUCCUGGCUCAGAUUGAACGCUGGCGGCAUGCCUUACACAUGCAAGUCGAACGGCAGCGCGGGGCAACCUGGCGGCGAGUGGCGAACGGGUGAGUAAUAUAUCGGAACGUACCCUGGAGUGGGGGAUAACGUAGCGAAAGUUACGCUAAUACCGCAUACGAUCCAAGGGUGAAAGCGGGGGAUCGCAAGACCUCGCGCUAUUGGAGCGGCCGAUAUCAGAUUAGCUAGUUGGUGGGGUAAAGGCCUACCAAGGCGACGAUCUGUAGCUGGUCUGAGAGGACGACCAGCCACACUGGGACUGAGACACGGCCCAGACUCCUACGGGAGGCAGCAGUGGGGAAUUUUGGACAAUGGGCGCAAGCCUGAUCCAGCCAUGCCGCGUGUGGGAAGAAGGCCUUCGGGUUGUAAACCACUUUUGUCAGGGAAGAAACGGCCUUUUCUAAUACAGGGGGCUAAUGACGGUACCUGAAGAAUAAGCACCGGCUAACUACGUG